GUCUGACGAUACAAGGAAUGCCUGUGUACAACACCAUAAUUCACACAACCAUUUAAUAAACUACAGAAACUCAAGACUUAUUGCCGCAGAAGACAACACUCAAUACCGAAGAAUCCUGGAAUCAUCGCUUAUCUCUAUAUCCGACAACUUCAACCAGAAUAAUGGCUUCUAUAACAAAGCUGAACCACUUGCCAAGAAACUUCUUCAUCGCUAUCCCACAUAAGAACAUAGGAAUGGAAGAACACUGCAGAAGGCCUGCUCACAAACUUAUCCAAUCUUUCUUCCAAGCUACCCAAGAUUUUAGACUCUAUAACCCCACUCGGUACAUCAUCAGAUGCAGCAUCCUCCACCUGACCUCAGCCUUCUGAACCUGACUAUAAAUACUUGCAUACCUUCCACCCCAGGUAGAUCUGUUUGUGACUUGAAAAAGCGCACUGUGUGGGCAAAACAUUGUCAAUAAAGGAUCACAUUAUACUUCAUAUGUGUUUAUAUUUCCAAUGCAAUAGUCUGUAUAACAGUAAAUAUACUAUUGUUGUGUGUGAAUAAAAUAAACCCAGUGAGGAGCAGGGGUGCAGUGGGGACAAUAAAGGAACACUGUAUCAACAUCUUACCAGAAGAUAUCAGAAACAUGGCUGGAACAAGUGUAGAAGCCUUCAAGAGAAAACUGGACAAGUAUCUUCACAAGGUGCCAGAUCAACCAGACUGUGGUGGAUAUGUGGGGCAGCGGGCCUCCAGCAGCAACAGCCUAGUUAACCAGCUAACCUUAGACGCCAUUGUCAAUGAGAGCCAACUAGUUAAAGAAAGAGUAAACGAGAGAGAGAACAAGAUACAGUGGACCCCCGCAUAACGAUCACCUCCCAAUGCGACCAAUUAUCUGCCGCCUCCACUAGUACUACUACUACUACCGCCACUAGUACUACUACUACUACUGCUGCUAAUACCACCACUAGUACUACUAAUACCACUGCUACUGUUACUACCACCAUUACUACCACCAACAGCAUGGUCUUGUCAACCUAUUGAAGAGCUUAUACUUUUACAUCUCACUUUAAUACCUAUAUACACUCUUAAUGUAUUGUUUGUAAUGACUUGACAAAGCUUCUGGAGAGCAAAAUGUUGCCACAAUAAAAAUGUUACAUUAACUGCACUUGUGUCCUUUUACCUAACAUAGUCAAUAAUGCUACCAACCGAACAGCUGAACGGCACAUGGAAAGGCUUUCACAGAAUGUGCUGUUCAAUUGUGGAUGAACUUUUGCAAUCACAUUCACAAAAAAUCAAACUUUACAUGAGUUUUAUAAGAGUUGACUGCAAUUUAACAAAUUCGUUCAUAUGACAGAUCAGUUAAAUUUACACAGCCAGGUUUCAAUUAGUGCUAGUUUAAAUGGUGCAUAUUUCUAUUUAGUAAAAAAUUAAUUAACGCUCGUUU